GAUCAUGGCUCAGAUUGAACGCUGGCGGAACGCUUUACACAUGCAAGUCGAACGGUAACGUGGGGAGGAGCUUGCUCCGCCCCGACGACGAGUGGCGAACGGGUGAGUAAUACAUCGGAACGUGUCCGCUCGUGGGGGACAACCAGCCGAAAGGUUGGCUAAUACCGCAUGAGUUCUACGGAAGAAGAGGGGGGACCCCGCAAGGGCCUCUCGCGAGCGGAGCGGCCGAUGACUGAUUAGCCGGUUGGUGAGGUAACGG
rnacentral:rRNA from 1 species